rnacentral:rRNA from 1 species
CCAGGGCGAGGCUACCAUGCAGUGAGGGGUAACAUUACUGCUUGCAGUAGAUGACGACCGGCGCACGGGUGAGUAACGCGUAUGCAACCUGCCUUGUACAGGGGGAUAGCCCGGAGAAAUCCGGAUUAAUACCGCAUAAUAUGAUUGAUUCGCAUGGAUUAAUUAUUAAACCUUCGGGGGUACAAGAUGGGCAUGCGUAGCAUUAGCUUGUUGGUGAGGUAACGGCUCACCAAGGCGAUGAUGCUUAGGGGGUCUGAGAGGAUAGUCCCCCACACUGGUACUGAGACACGGACCAGACUCCUACGGGAGGCAGCAGUGAGGAAUAUUGGUCAAUGGACGCAAGUCUGAACCAGCCAUGUCGCGUGCAGGAUGACGGCCCUAUGGGUUGUAAACUGCUUUUUUACGGGAAUAAACUUAGCUACGUGUAGUUAACUGAAGGUACCGUAUGAAUAAGGAUCGGCUAACUCCGUGCCAGCAGCCGCGGUAAUACGGAGGAUUCGAGCGUUAUCCGGAUUUAUUGGGUUUAAAGGGUCCGUAGGCGGGCCUAUAAGUCAGUGGUGAAAUCUUACGGCUCAACCGUGAAACUGCCAUUGAUACUGCAGGUCUUGAAUAUAGUUGAGGUGGGCGGAAUACGUUAUGUAGCGGUGAAAUGCAUAGAUAUAACGUAGAACACCGAUUGCGAAGGCAGCUCACUAAGCUAUUAUUGACGCUGAUGGACGAAAGCGUGGGGAGCGAACAGGAUUAGAUACCCUGGUAGUCCACGCCGUAAACGAUGAUUACUCGUUGUGCGCGAUACACAGUGCGCGACUGAGCGAAAGCAUUAAGUAAUCCACCUGGGGAGUACGUUGG